rnacentral:rRNA from 1 species
AACGUAGGAGGCAAGCGUUAUCCGGAUUCACUGGGCGUAAAGCGCGUGCAGGCGGUUCGGUAAGUUGGGCGUGAAAUCUCCUGGCUCAACUGGGAGAGGUCGUCAAUACUACCGGGCUAGAGAGUGGUAGAGGAAGAUGGAAUUCCCGGUGUAGUGGUGAAAUGCGUAGAUAUCGGGAGGAACACCAGUGGCGAAGGCGAUCUUCUGGACCAUUUCUGACGCUCAGACGCGACAGCUAGGGUAGCAAACGGG